AUCCAACUGUCGAGUCCCAAAUAGGACGAGAUGUGCAUUCUGGAU
rnacentral:hammerhead_ribozyme from 1 species